ensembl:lncRNA
AUUAACCUGUGAUCAGGUGAAUCAAGCUGCUUAAGUGACAGCCUUACCAAGACAAUAGGGAAGAGAUACCUGCCCCCAUCCCCCAUAAAAGGACUGAAUAAAACACUGUAGGGAGCUGCUCAGAAGCACACCAUCACAUCAAAGAAGCCAGCAAUGAGAAGAAUAAUUUUACUUAAUUUCAAAAUCAUGCAUCAGCGUCUUUUGCAGUGAGUCGACUCUGCGCAUCAGGUGGCCAAAGUAUUGGAGCUUCAGCAUCAGUCCUUCCACUGAAUAUUCAGAGUUGAUUUCCUUUAGGACUGACUGGUUUGAUCUCUCAAGAGUCUUCUCCAGCACCACAAUUAUAAAGCAUCAAUUCAGUUAGAGU